UGCUCCGUAUGUAAUCCAUAUUGAAAUCUCUAAAAAGACUUAUAUUUAGGAACGGAGGGAGUAGAAACUAAUUUUAAAAAAUGAUAAAUAAGUGACACAUGACAAAUAAAUCUAAAAGGAACAUGUUACAUAAAGAACUCUUGAGUCCCACGCACCUACAUUUAAAUCACAAUUAGACAUAUUGAUAGUAGCUCAUGUAGAUCAUCAAUAAAGAUGUUCCGAUUCAGUAACAAAAAAUAGAUAUUCCAAACUUUCAACUCUAUGAUCCUACAUCACCCAGAAACCAACUUUUACAAAAUUUUAUUUAUUAAAACACCUAACCAAACCUUUUCCUUCGAAGCUAUUCUCAAGGAUUAACUUAUCUCCCUUUUAGACUCAGAAAACUACUCCCCCUCCAGUUCACAAUAAGCUUUUCGAUAUGGAUAUGGACAUGGUCUCCAAAACAUAGCUUUGACCACUAAUUUCUAUUAAAAUCUUUCCCUAAUAAUAAAGCGGCUAUCGCUUCUGCCCGCCCGCUCACCGUCGCGGCCUUUUUGCAAAAACGUCCCUGUGGUUCUGCUUAUUCAACCCACAGUCCCUUUUUAAGUGCUGAACAGAGAAAACGUUUCGUUUUUGCAGAAAACCCCAUGUAGUUCUGAGUAAUCAACCCGCAGUCAUAAAAACGCACAAGCGAGCAGAUUUGCGGAAAAAAAAACACGAUCACGGGCUCUCCAUGAUGCGCACAGGUACGGCACCGCCGCCGCCGCCACGCGCGCCGGCCUCUCCGGCCAUCCGCCACCGUCACGCUCAGCCGGCCGUCCUCUCCGUCCAAUCACCGCCCUGUUCUCCAUCCCUUCCCCAUCCGUCCCCAAUCAGCCUCCUCGAUCUCCAACCUCCUGCAGUCGUCCUUCUCUGAUUUGGAUCAAAGUGGAGCCAUCGAUGGAGGCAGGGUAGCAGCAGAUGUGGAGCCAUCGGACGAGGAGGAUCAGCUCGGGAAACAUGAGGGAAGGGGUGGAUCUGGCGGAAGCGCGGGAGCAGCAGAUGGAGCCAUCUCAUCGACCCGUUUGGCGACCGGCCGGCUAGCCAAUUCCCUUCGCUCCCAUCACUUCCUCUAGCUCCGGCCGUCACCCGUCAGCCCGCACGAUGAUGGAUGUCUUCGCCGUCGCACAUGAGGAUGUUCUUGGACAUUCUGUGUUGCUACUGUUUGUAGGUUGCGGGAGCUUUUAGGAGUCAGAUUAGCUUCCACAUCUGUAGUUAGGGCUGACGAGUUUCAUCACUCUUUUGGUUGUUAGAUGAUUCAUGUUCAGAGGUUUAGAAGUGACACAUUUAUAAAACAUAGGUUUGCUUCGCUGAUUGGUACCCAAGACAAGCUAGAGAAAACCAGGGGGUCUUUUUUAAUUUGCUUGCGUUGCUUUUACUCUAUGAUAUGAUGAUUUCGCUUUGUUCACUGGGUUUAGGAGGGUUAUUUCUUUCGAAAGGAACACAAAGGUUUAUUUUUUACAUUUAUUACUUGAUGCUUAUUGAUGCUGAAACUGCAACUGCAAGGCACUGUCUGCUGCCUGCGUUUUAGAUCGAUGCCCCUUUAAUUUUUGGCUUGUGCUACUGAUUAAAUUCUGAGCCACUUAAAUUAGGGGAUGCGAUUGCCGUUGCUGUUGCCGUUGUUGAAUACAAUUACAGUAUUCGACCGGGUUAAUUUUUAUGUGUCACAGGCUGCAAAGAAUCUUGUAGCUGCGUCGGUGGCGGCGCCUUCAGUUCCUGCUUUCAGGGCCCCUGCUGCAACUGGAGCAGGUGGUGUGCUUAGAAAUCUACAUCAGAGGUACUGGUCAGGCUUUGUUGGCGGGUGUGCACUUUGGCGCCGCUUCUUCAUUCUAGGGAGAUUCAUAGGAGUAAUCCAGAAGGAGUUAUGCACAACUUCAUCAAAUGGCUACAGCAAGGUAGCCGCCUUUUCUUUCUGUCACGUUUACUAGCUAGGAGUAGGUUGAGGUUUUACCCACUGAUGGUUUCUAUUCUCUGUGCAGGAAUUUCAAGUGCACCAAGGGAGGAAGGGCCUGCUCUUGGUACACAAGACAAGCUAGAGAACAAACAAAGGCUCAACUGAUGCUUUCCUAAAGAGAGCUUCCGUCAACUGAACUUGAUAUGAUGUUAAUGCUGGAAGCUAUUGCUUGAUGUUUCCUUUGGCCUAUCACGUAGUACCUGCUGCAAAUAUCCUGCUACUAUUGUUGAAGUUCAUGUUAUCCAGUAAACUGGUUGUAUGUAUUAUCAGUUUCUCGCUAUUGCUCGAUACCUUUGGCCUAUCACAUGAGUACCUGCUGCAAAUAUCCUGCUACUAUUGUUGAAGUUCAUGUUACCCAGUAAACUGGUUGUAUGUAUUAUCAGUUUCUCAUUGCCUGACUGAUGACCUAAGGGUUUAAAGUUUAGCAGAAAUAUUCCCAGUUGACCAGAUUCGGAAUGGCGUGGCGCCGGUGCAGUGGUGCCGGGAUGAAGGUGCAGUCGUUGCAGUCCCGUGCAGCGCUGGCUCAUGCAAAUGCCCUAUCCGCGGCAUAG